AUACGGAGGGAGCGAGCGUUAAUCGGAAUUACUGGGCGUAAAGCGCGCGUAGGCGGCUUUGUAAGUCGGAUGUGAAAGCCCUGGGCUCAACCUGGGAAUGGCAUUCGAUACUGCAGAGCUAGAGUAUAGUAGAGGCAAGUGGAAUUCCGGGUGUAGCGGUGAAAUGCGUAGAUAUCCGGAGGAACAUCAGUGGCGAAGGCGACUUGCUGGACUAAUACUGACGCUGAGGAGCGAAAGCGUGGGGAGCAAACGGGAUUAGAAACCCCAGUAGUCC
rnacentral:rRNA from 1 species